rnacentral:rRNA from 1 species
UGUGACACCGGAUCAUGAGCGGUGGUAAUAAGGUGGGGGGAAGCGGUUUUCGGAAUCAGUGGGUGUAAAGGGUGCGUAGGUGUGUUGGUAAGUCAGGGGGGAAAUCACCGUGAUGAACUUGGGAAAUGGCAUGGAUACUAUCAGUCUUGAAUAUUGUGGAGGUCAGCGGAAUAUGUCAUGUAGCGGUGAAAUGCUUAGAUAGGACAUAGAACACCAAUUGCGAAGGCAGCUGGCUACGCAUAUAUUGACACUGAGGCACGAAAGCGUGGGGAUCAAACAGGAUUAGAUACCCGGGUAGUC